rnacentral:rRNA from 1 species
UACGAAGGGGGCAAGCGUUGUUCGGAAUUACUGGGCGUAAAGGGCGCGUAGGCGGCUUAUCAAGUCAGGCGUGAAAUUCCCGGGCUCAACCUGGGGGCUGCGCUUGAUACUGAUGAGCUUGAAUGCGGGAGAGGAUAGUGGAAUUCCCAGUGUAGAGGUGAAAUUCGUAGAUAUCGAGAGGAACACCGGUGGCGAAGGCGGCCUUCUGGACAGUGACUGACGCUGAGACGCGAAAGCGUGGGGAGCAAACAGG